GGCAAAGAUGAAGAGUGCUUUUAGAAUUUCUGACACCUCUUGUAUGAGAAAAGCUAAGCUUUUCGUUGAGCAGAGAUAGCAAACUCUCUGAGCC
rfam:Gossypium raimondii chromosome 13, whole genome shotgun sequence.